UUGAGAGUAAUGUUACUGAUUCUUAAGUAUAAUGGCAUUUUCUUGAUACAGGUAUGUAUAAGUGUACUCCUAACCUUGAAAAGGGAUGGUUAAUAGAUAUUCUUAUGAGUAGGAGAAUCUAAGAGUGUUCAUAUAACUCAUAGGUGCUUAAACUUGUCUUGGCAAAGAGUUUUUCCUUCUUCAGAUUAAAACAGUAGUUGAGUUAAUGAACUGGCGUUAUCUGUUGAACACAGGUGGCCCUUCUUAGUCUCUUACAAAGAGGAAAUAAACUCAAAGCGACUCUAAAAAGAUAGAAUGUAAGGGAGAUAAAAUUUAGAUAUGAGGAGCUUCCUGUUACUUUUGCUUACUUUAGGUUACCAGUGAGAAGUAAAAAAAUUGGUAGAACUUAAUAGUAUUUAGUCUUAGGUUACCAACCCAGUGAGAAGUAAAAAAAUUGGUAGAACUUAAUAGUAUUUAGUCUGUAGGCUGCCCUGCUCCUGUGUGUGUGCUCAGUGCUCAGUGUUGUCUGACUAUGCGACCCCGUGGUCUGCAGCCUGCCAGACUGCUCUGUCCAUGGAGGUUUCCAGGCAAGAAUACUGGAGUGGGUUGCCAUUUUCUACUUUCCAAGCAGGAGGCCCAACAAAGCAGACAAAAUCCUUGCCCACAGAGAUCUUAUGUUCUGAUAACAGACUCUUCCUUAGUUUACAACUGUGCUCCUUUCAUGGAUGACUUGAAUUAUGAGUGGGAUUUGGCAUGUGUGACGUUUUCUACACUUUGCUUAGAAGCUGUGAUUCGAGCUUUACUAUUUUUAACAAGAGAGAAGGAAGAGGAGGUUUUCUAUAACUGGACAAAAACUGAAAUAUGAAAAGAGGAAGUAGGAAGGGGGAAAUAGUGUUGUACCUAAGAUUAAAAUGUGAGCCAAAGAUAAAAAAAAAAAGAGAUUCCUACAUUAGGCAUGUGGGAAGCUGGGGAAAACACCAUUUACUGUCCAGUCUCAGAUAGAGGAGUUCUUGGACAGGAGAAUGGGCGAAAAGAUGGAAUAGUGGGAGAAGGGUAAACAGGGCUUUUAACAAGUCUGGUUUAAGUAACUUGGGAUGUUCCUAUAAAAUAUAUGUUAUUUGUGUUUGGAAAAGACCCUUUUCCUUUUCUUUUGUGAACAUAGUUGAAAGAUUAGUGGUUGGCCAGUAGUGUCUGAAAUACUGUCCCUGAUUUGUGACUGCUGAUCUGUCUCUGGUUAGUUGACAGUUCUGUUGAGGUUAGCUGAUGGAGUCAAUCCAUCUCUUAGUUUAUUGUCCUCAAAUUGCCCUGUAUAUCGAACUGCAUCCCUUAAUUCCAUAGCUGUUUAUGUAUUACUUGAAGUUGUGCCUUUGUUUUCCUGCCUUGUAAGUUUCUGCAUGAUGUCCUGUUGUACUUAAGAGACAAAGCAGGUGCUUAGUUUUCUACUUUCUGUUUACAGCUUUUUUUCAGUGACCAUCCAGUUUGGUAAAGAAGUCUCUUCUUGAGUUUACACAAUACAUUGCACACUUUUAAAGAUAAGCAUGAGAGAUCUUUGAUGUUUGUUUUUGUUUUAAUGCAUAAUCGUUUUUUGCUUUCAUUUAUGAGUCAUUCCGUCAGAGUCUCAUGUGAUCUUGCCUGCUGUAGUGAAUUGAGAUAGAUUUUUUAAUGAUUUUUUUAUUAUAAAGCAAAUCAACUUCUGUUUAUUUCAGUGCUCCAAUAUGAAAAUGAACACUAGUUCCAUUCAUGACCUAAGAGACUCCCUUUAUAACACCCGAAUAAGCCUUCAGAGUACUGGUUUCACUUUUAAUGUAUUUUUGUAACUGUAUUUAUCACUUUUAUCAAAACUCUAAUGUGCAGAACUUGAACUUUUGAAUAUAUUAAAUUUAAGAUUGUAAUUCAGACAAGGUUCAUUAAGCUGUUCAACAUCUGGACAUCUUUGAGUGCCUAUAUUUUAGACUGAAAAAUGAAGCAAAAAUAACCUUACUUGAUUUCUAAAAUUAUCUUUUAUAAAGUGUUGGUGACUCUAGGUCCUAAAUGUAAGGAAAUUGAGUUUAGCUUCUUUCUAGUCAACUGUUUUGGAGUGUUUUGAAUCAGAAUGUGAAAGUGAAAUAGUAACUUUUAGCUUAAGACAUAAUAGAUUCAGUUAUACUUUCAUUUUGUUUUUGUUUUAUAAAAUCUGACUCUAGUUUGUAAGGGAAGUAGAGGCUUCUAAGGAUUAGUGAUAAUUUAGGAUGUUAUUACUCUUAACAUCUUGAGUCUUUUUCUCAGUGAU
ensembl:lncRNA